AUACGUAUGUCGCAAGCGUUAUCCGGAUUUAUUGGGCGUAAAGCGCGUCUAGGCGGCUUAGUAAGUCUGAUGUGAAAAUGCGAGGCUCAACCCCGUAUUGCGUUGGAAACUGCUAAACUAGAGUACUGGAGAGGUAGGCGGAACUACAAGUGUAGAGGUGAAAUUCGUAGAUAUUUGUAGGAAUGCCGAUGGGGAAGCCAGCCUACUGGACAGAUACUGACGCUAAAGCGCGAAAGCGUGGGUAGCAAACAGGAUUAGAUACCCUGGUAGUCCACGCCGUAAACGAUGAUUACUAGGUGUUGGGGGUCGAACCUCAGCGCCCAAGCUAACGCGAUAAGUAAUCCGCCUGGGGAGUACGUACGCAAGUAUGAAACUCAAAUGAAUUGGCGGGG
rnacentral:rRNA from 1 species